UGUCAUAGAAACUAUAUAGCAUUGAUUUUUAGCUAUGAUUUUGAUUCAGUUUUUAAAGUAUUUAAUUUUUAUUAUAUCAGCCCACACUGAACAUUGGUUUUUCAGCAGAUAAUGCAUCUUCCAAGUGCUCCAAGGCGAAGAGCCGCAGAGAAGAAUACUGCAUCUUGAGUCAUACCCUGAAAUUACUGAAUGAAUUACCUGUGGCCAUGUAAACACUCUGCUUCAGUAGGUAGAGUGCAACAGACAAUCCAAUCAUUCAGAACUAAGUUUUUAGUUAGCUUCUGUUAUUCACUGAAGUAGUUUGCAAUUACAGUUGUCUCUAGGUAUCCAUGGGGGAUUGGUUCCAGAACUCCCUGCUGAUAACAAAAUUCAUGGAUGCUCAAGCGCCUUACAUAACUUGGUGUAGUAUUUGCGAAUAACCUAUGCACAUCCUCAAGUAUACUUUAUAUCAUCUCUAAACAUAUAAUACUUAAUAUGUAAAUGCUAUGUAAUUAGUUGUUAUUACUGUAUUUAGUGAAUAAUGACAAGAAAAAAAAGUGUGUACCUGUUUAGUACAGACACUACUCUGUACUGAUUUUUUUUUCUGAGUAUUUUCCAUCCAGGGUUGGUUGAAUCCACAGAUGUGUAACUCACAAAUAUGAAGGGCUGACGGUACCUAGUAGUUAAUUCAGAUUUAUCGCAGUGAUCUAAAGUAAUUUUGCAGUUUACAAGCAUUUUUUUUUGGUUCUAAAAGAAAAAAACAAAACGAAUAUUGGUGAUGUGAUAUUUAUGUAAUGUGAUGAUAUUAUAAUGGCCACGUUUUAAAACUUGAGAAUGUCCUAAGUUCACACACUGUUGGUUUCUAGAUCCACAAGGCUUCUGUAUACAGUUCACGGUCCUCGGCAUUGCUUCUUGUAAUUUUUCCAUCCCAAAGGAGAGCUACUGUACUGACUGUACUUGUGGAAUGCAGCGCUUCAUUAAAUUAAGUUUAUUAAAAUGCAA
rnacentral:lncRNA from 1 species